rnacentral:lncRNA from 1 species
CUCAACAGUGUUGGUAACGGGCAUUUUUUUUUUUUAAAGACCAGAACGGUUGUGAUGCCUCAUAGGCAAAGCAACCUCAGGGCCUUUCUUAGUAAGCCUGGCUAAGAAGCAAAGCCUUCCGUCCUGGACUCCUUGCUGAUGGACCCUACCUGCCCUUGGGGUUGGAGCUGAGGUGGUGCAGAGCCAACAACACAGACUCCCGGGAGCAGGAGUUCCCUUAUCAACCAGACCCAGCUGGACGUCUGAGCUGGGCAAGGGAGCCAGCUACCGCAGUUCAAAAGGCCAAUGUGUUAGAUCUCUAUUGCAAGGUUGCAUUUGAAGGAGUCAUCUGAGGAUGUAUUCUCCUAAAAGGAUGGAAUUUAAUAAGAUUGUUUCCUCACAUGGAUUCCAGCUGGAGACUUCAGUCUUACUCUGCUUUCUAUUGUUGGAA